rnacentral:rRNA from 1 species
ACGCUGGCGGCGUGCUUACACAUGCAAGUCGAACGCUGAAGGCCUGGCUUUUGUUGGGUUGGAUGAGUGGCGAACGGGUGAGUAACACGUGAGUAACCUGCCCUCUUCUUUGGGAUAACGCCCGGAAACGGGUGCUAAUACUGGAUAUUCACUGAUCUUCGCAUGGGGGUUGGUGGAAAGGUUUGUUCUGGUGGGGGAUGGGCUCGCGGCCUAUCAGCUUGUUGGUGGGGUGAUGGCCUACCAAGGCUUUGACGGGUAGCCGGCCUGAGAGGGUGACCGGUCACAUUGGGACUGAGAUACGGCCCAGACUCCUACGGGAGGCAGCAGUGGGGAAUAUUGCACAAUGGGCGAAAGCCUGAUGCAGCGACGCCGCGUGAGGGAUGGAGGCCUUCGGGUUGUAAACCUCUUUCGCUCAUGGUCAAGCCGCGACAUUGGUUGUGGUGAGGGUAGUGGGUAAAGAAGCGCCGGCUAACUACGUGCCAGCAGCCGCGGUAAUACGUAGGGCGCGAGCGUUGUCCGGAAUUAUUGGGCGUAAAGGGCUUGUAGGCGGUUGGUCGCGUCUGCCGUGAAAUUCUCUGGCUUAACUGGGGGCGUGCGGUGGGUACGGGCUGACUUGAGUGCGGUAGGGGAGACUGGAACUCCUGGUGUAGCGGUGGAAUGCGCAGAUAUCAGGAAGAACACCGGUGGCGAGGCGGGUCUCUGGGCCGUUACUGACGCUGAGGAGCGAAAGCGUGGGGAGCGAACAGGAUUAGAUACCCUGGUAGUCCACGCUGUAAACGUUGGGCACUAGGUGUGGGGGCCACCCGUGGUUUCUGCGCCGUAGCUAACGCUUUAAGUGCCCCGCCUGGGGAGUACGGCCGCAAGGCUAAAAGUCAAAGGAAUUGACGGGGGCCCGCACAAGCGGCG